rnacentral:piRNA from 1 species
UUGCUGGUCGAGAGAGG